rnacentral:rRNA from 1 species
UGGGGAAUAUUGGGCAAUGGGCGAAAGCCUGACCCAGCAACGCCGCGUGAAGUAUGAAGGCCUUCGGGUUGUAAACUUCUUUGAUCAGGGAAGAAACAAAUGACGGUACCUGAAAAACAAGCCACGGCUAACUACGUGCCAGCAGCCGCGGUAAUACGUAGGGGGCUAGCGUUAUCCGGAUUUACUGGGCGUAAAGGGUGCGUAGGUGGUCUUUCAAGUCGGUGGUUAAAGGCUACGGCUCAACCGUAGUUAGCCUCCGAAACUGGAAGACUUGAGUGCAGGAGAGGAAAGUGGAAUUCCCAGUGUAGCGGUGAAAUGCGUAGAUAUUGGGAGGAACACCAGUAGCGAAGGCGGCUUUCUGGACUGCAACUGACACUGAGGCACGAAAGCGUGGGUAGCAAACAGG